UACGUAGGGUCCGAGCGUUGUCCGGAAUUACUGGGCGUAAAGGGCGCGCAGGCUGUUAUGCGAGUCUGCUGUGAAAUGUACCGGCUCAACCGGUGCCUUGCGGCGGAUACUGCAUAGCUGGAGUACUGGAGAGGGAAGUGGAAUUCCCGGUGUAGCGGUGAAAUGCGUAGAUAUCAGGAGGAACACCGGUAGCGAAGGCGGCUCUCUGGAACAGUACUGACGCUGAGGCGCGAAAGCUAGGGGAGCGACAGGAUUAGA
rnacentral:rRNA from 1 species